UCCGGUUUGUCACCGGCAGUCUCCUUAAAGUGCCCAACUUAAUGAUGGCAACUAAGGACAAGGGUUGCGCUCGUUACGGGACUUAACCCAACACCUCACGACACGAGCUGACGACAGCCAUGCAGCACCUGUCACCGGGUUCCCGAAGGCACCCCCGCAUCUCUGCAGGGUUCCCGGGAUGUCAAGGCCUGGUAAGGUUCUUCGCGUUGCGUCGAAUUAAACCACAUGCUCCACCGCUUGUGCGGGCCCCCGUCGAUUCAUUUGAGUUUUAAUCUUGCGACCGUACUCCCCAGGCGGAAUGCUUAAUGCGUUAGCUGCGCCACCGAAGAGCAUGCUCUCCAACGGCUGGCAUUCAUCGUUUACGGCGUGGACUAC
rnacentral:misc_RNA from 1 species